UUUAUUCAGUUCUAUAAAGGUCUUGCUCAUAACUGAAUCUGCGCAACUUCCAGCAAAGCAAAGUAUAAACUUCCUGCAGUUGGUCUGUGUGAUAAGAAUUAAAGAUGAACAUUAUACAUUUUACCUUUGUUGUAACCCCAAUUUCCCAGUGACUCAGUCAGACAUGCUCUCCAAUGGUUUGAGGACUUUACCUCUCGGUAGGACAGACGUACAAGAAGGAUGGGAACCUUUGGUAGAGGUGGGACAUCACUGGAGACCUUCAAUCAGAAAGGGAAUUCUAUGACAGAGCAGCAUAAUGGCUACUGUGGGGCUGUCACUGGCAAACGCACACUGGGAGAGAAUAUUGAUGCCAGUUUUAAAGAUGGCAGAAGGGGCUCCCUCAGCAGCUGAUGCAACAUUCAAGGGCACGUAAUUAUCUUCUGUGUUAGCUUCAUAUCCAUAGAGGCUCAUGGGAGGUUUCAAUAGGGCUCACUCAUUGAGACUUCUUACAUUGGCUAUUAGAAUUAAUAUUCCUUAUCAAAGAUUCAUGAGCUGAAGCCCACAUCUCCUUACUGAGGUCCCACUUAUCUAAGAAGCAUGUAAACAUGUGCUGAACUUGCAGCCAAUCACUAUCAGGAUAUAAACAUAAAACGUGAUUGGCUGUAAACUCCCUUUUUUAUUUCUGGGAUCAGAGGUGAGCUGAGCAUUGAUACACAGGGGCAUUAAGGGAAAUAAUGGCAGAAAUGAAGGAAAUCAUUAUUUGAGUGUGACACUGGCUAGUGCCUGGGAUAUGAGCCUGAACAUCAUGCUCACAGAGACAGCCAAAGUGAAGAUCAGUGAGUAAAACUUACAGUUAUAAGUAAGUAGAGUAAUGGAUGGUGGGGAACUUCUGUGAAUAUGGAGUCAGGGGAGUUCAUAAUUCAGGUUUCUAUCUUAUUGUGGUUAAACAAGUUAUUUUCCAUUAAUAGAUUCUAUCUGUCAUUUCAGUCGACUUUGGAAACAGCUGGGACCUGGACCCGCAAACUGGAUUGUGCAACGAAGCAGAAGGGAUUCCACAUUGGAUGGCACCCGAGGCCAUAAGGCAGAAGGGCCAGCGCCUGGCGUACGACACCAAAUGUGACAUCUGGUCGCUGGGGAUAAUCGCCAUCGAAAUGGCCGAGGGAAAACCACCAUAUGCAGAUCAAUACCCGUUGGAGCACCUGAUAAGAGAAGCCCAACCACCGAAGCUUCAAUCAAACAGAUGGUGAGUCGGUCCCAGCUCGUGUCACUGUACUUUGUACCUGUGCUUGCAGACAUGGAACUCCCCACAUUUUCUUAUUAACACUUGGGACAUUUGGCAACUCCUAUAUCCACUUAGCCGCUUCCACAGUCUGCCCUCACGAUGCCGCUUGUCCGUACAAAUUUAGGAUAAUGGGGAGAUUUCAGUCUCAGCUCAGGGGAUGUGUAUUUUGUUUAAAUACCUCCUAAAUAUAAAUAGAGGUUUUUCUACUGCAGUAUUUAAAUGUGGCCCAUGAGAUGGAGGCAGGGAUAUGUGUUUUUUCAGGGAAAUAUAGGUGAAUGCAGAGCAGAUAUGAUAUAUUUUAUGUAUAUAAUCAGUGUCUAUGUCUCAGGGGCAUAACAGUAUAACUAUGGGCCCCACUACUGUGAGAUUACAGGCCAUGUGCACUAUGGUGCAGUCAGGAGAGGGUGUGGGAAAAUCACAGGACUUUACCUUGUCCCUCAUAGCCUUAUAGACAUCUAGAUUUGCCACUGAUAUCCUUUGUUAUACCCUUGUUGACCAAUUUGGGAUAGUGGUGGGGAAUCUUGGGUUG